AGCGCAGGUGGUUGUAUAAGUCUGAAGUAAAAGGCAGUGGCUCAACCAUUGUGUGCUUUGGAAACUGUACAACUUGAGUGCAGAAGGGGAGAGUGGAAUUCCAUGUGUAGCGGUGAAAUGCGUAGAUAUAUGGAGGAACACCGGUAGCGAAAGCGGCUCUCUGGUCUGUAACUGACACUGAGGCUCGAAAGCGUGGGGGAGCAAACA
rnacentral:rRNA from 1 species